GACGAACGCUGGCGGCGUGCUUAACACAUGCAAGUCGAACGGAAAGGCCCUGCUUUUGUGGGGUGCUCGAGUGGCGAACGGGUGAGUAACACGUGAGUAACCUGCCCUUGACUUUGGGAUAACUUCAGGAAACUGGGGCUAAUACCGGAUAGGAGCUCCUGCUGCAUGGUGGGGGUUGGAAAGUUUCGGCGGGUGGGGAUGGACGGGCGGCUUAUCAGCUUGUUGGUGGGGUAGUGGCUUACCAAGGCUUUGACGGGUAGCCGGCCUGGGAGGGUGACCGGGCACAUGGGGCCUGCGGGACGGCCCAGACUCCAAUGGGAGGCAGCAGUGGGGAAUAUUACACAAUGGGCGGAAGCCGGAUGCAGCAACGCCGCGUGCGGGAUGACGGCCUGCGGGUUGUAAACCGCUUUCGCCUGAGACGAAGCGUGAGUGGCGGUAAUGGGUAAAGAAGCACCGGCUAACUACGUG
rnacentral:rRNA from 1 species